rnacentral:rRNA from 1 species
GAUGGAGAGGCUGGAGUAGGGCCCGAGCGGGAGGCUUAUGGAGCUGGAGGGGGGCUGGGGCGUGGUGCUCGUCCUCGUGGUCUUUGGGAGGGGGCUGCCGGUGCCGCCGCCCCAUCCGCCGCCGCCGCCGCUGAGGGGGAGUAGGUGCGGCCUCCUGGAGCAGGACGGGAAGUAGAGGGCGUAUGAGUACCUCCUCCUGUAGCUGCUGUUCAAGAAGAUGCUGAAGGGGCUGUUGGGGCGCGAGUAGCUCCGCGUCGUCGGGAAGGAGCUCUAGGAGAGGCUAGGGAGGAGGUUGAGGUGGAGGCUGCUGUCGUUGUUGGCGCGGCAGAGGGGCACGAGGGGGAGGCUGCGGAGGCAGCCGUGGCGGCGGGUCGACGGAGGGUGCGGCCGGCGGCAACUGAGGAUGCUGGCGAAGGUCAAGCUCGGGCAGCUGGAGCUAGGGCGGCGGAAGAAGCCGCCGCCGCGGUUGAGGCUGGAGUACUCGAGGCGGAAGGAGUUCCCCUACGUCCUCCGGUUGUUCAAGGACGGGUCAGUCCUGUUCGAGCAGUAGCUGGACCUCCGGAGGAGACCGGUCAAGAAGUUCCCGCAGCUCCUCCCGUUGUUCAAGGACGGGUCCCUCCUGUUUGAGCAACGACCCAAGUUACCGGUGCGUCGAGGACGCGGCCGCGGCCAACACGAGUCGCAUUUCUUCCUCCUCCGCCACCUACGCCAGAGCCGGUUGAGACCACCGCCGGCUCCAGCCUUCUUGGGAAUGGUACUACUGCUCGACCUCGUCCUCCCACCGUCCUCGUCGUUCGUCUCACGCGACCCUCUGCUGCAGAGACGUGCCCUCUACAAGCUGUCCUACGACUACGGGAGUCUGCUCUACACGUAGCACGUCUACGUCUUGGACGCCUAGCGGUACGUCCUCCGCCACCGGUUCUUACUAUCGCCGCCGCCCUUCCCCCGGUUACCGUUCCCCUCCCCGGCCGCACCACCAAGGCUACACCACCUGGACGCGUGCGACGAGUAGGUAACGCGCGUCAGACAACGGUGUCUACUGGCGGCCUCGCGAUGUCUCGACGACUUCGUCUAGUUCGACGUACGAGCGGGACUACCGCUACCCUGAGUCGCGGAACGCGUAACGAAACGCCUCCCGGACGUCCGCGCCGACCGCCCGUGUCCACCGGAGCAUGUGGUCAGCGAGUACCGUUGUGCGUAGAGUCGACACCUGUACGAGUUUCGAAUGGUCGACAUGUACCGUCGGUAGACAAAGUUCUUCCACAGAAAGGACAAGAGUUUAUCAUGUUAGAUAUUACGGAGGAACCCUUUCUUCUUCUAUGUAUAGUAGCUAAUACCAUAUGUUAUACCCAAGGUCACCGGCACGAAAGACGCUGCCUAUAGUUGUUCCGGACCUCCCGGCGGCUUACAUUCCUAGUGACCAUAGCUAGAGGGAGUCGGACCCAAGGCCGGUUGUCUCGCCUAACUUCUCUGUCCCGCGUCCGAGUUCUUCAUACGGGUACUCAAAUUACACGGCAAGCUCAUGGCCCGGUAGCGCUGCCGUUUCUACCUCAGCGAGGCGUUUCUCCUAAACUUCUAACUAGGACUACUCCAUGAGUAACAAUUGAGGAACAAAGUUAAGUUCUUGAACUACCUGCUCUCGCAACACGAACUCUCGGGUUCCCUACAACACGAGUUCUUGUAGUCCUUCUACGCGGGGGUGUGUAAGUAGGUACGUUAGCACUUACCGAGUAAGUCACGGGGUAAGAAACACUGUGCCAAAGCCCUCCAAGACAAGAUGAUGAGCCGGGAAAAACUACAAGACCUGUGUUGGUGGGGUUCCCUAUUGCUUGUCUCCUACGACUAACUCGUCUUGUAGGAACCCGCACGACGGGACUUACAGUAACGGACACUCCCAUGUCUAUCCCACCUCGCAGGACUCUGCAUAUUCGUUACCGUCCAUUCCUUAGUUGCCCGUCCAAACUUCGACGACGGUAACUUAGGUCUCCAGUAACUCGAUCGCUCUCUGUUCCAGUUCUUGACGAUGGUGUUCCUGAAACACUAACUAUAUCUAGUCGUGACCGAGAACGUUCCUACCUUUCCCGCGUAGGAGAUACGGUAGAGCUGUACCUGCCGUUUGCUACGAUCGAGUAUUUAAAAUCGACCGCAAAAGUGAACCGUUACGAAUAUCGAGAUCAAUACAGUUAUAUUACAGACACACAACACAUACCUGGUACCAGAUCAAUUCAUUGGAAACUAAGUCACCUACGUCAAAGAACUCCAUGCGGAAAGGACUUAAACCACGUAUAAACCGUAAGGCUGUACGUCCACUAAGACGAGUAUCCCGGUUAAACACGCUACGUCCAGUACUCUCUCUACCCAUCGGGUUCUAUAUACGUACCAAGAUACACAACACUUAAUCUACAACGUCAGUACAACGGCGGACUACGGAUCGAUACACAUCUCAAAUCUGAAACCACAGGACUAGACCUACCUACGACAAACGACUUAAACUAUACACGGACACUAGUCAGGUCAGUCAACUGGUCCAACAUUAACUGUGAUCAGUGACAGAAGACCCACGUAUGACGUGACACAGUCCGUCAUUUGUAAACAUACUUUUUGAACUACUUGGAGCGGAACCGAUCAAAUAAUACAAAACAUGGUACUCUUACUAGGAAAGUACGUCCUUUGGUUUAUAAAACGGG